UACGGAGGGUGCAAGCGUUGUCCGGAUUUAUUGGGUUUAAAGGGUGCGUAGGUGGCUUGUUAAGUCCGGGGUGAAAGCCCACAGCUCAACUGUGGAACUGCCCUGGAUACUGGCAAGCUUGAGAGUCGUCGAGGGUGGCGGAAUGGACGGUGUAGCGGUGAAAAUGCAUAGAUACCGUCCAGAACCCCAAUUGCGUAGGCAGCUGCCCUAGGCGGACAUCUGACACUGAGGCACGAAAGCGUGGGAGCGAACAGGG
rnacentral:rRNA from 1 species